rnacentral:rRNA from 1 species
GAUGAACGCUGGCGGCGUGCCUAUUACAUGCAAGUCGAGCGAACAGACGAGGAGCUUGCUCCUCUGACGUUAGCGGCGGACGGGUGAGUAACACGUGGAUAACCUACCUAUAAGACUGGGAUAACUUCGGGAAACCGGAGCUAAUACCGGAUAAUAUAUUGAACCGCAUGGUUCAAUAGUGAAAGACGGUUUUGCUGUCACUUAUAGAUGGAUCCGCGCCGCAUUAGCUAGUUGGUAAGGUAACGGCUUACUAAGGCAACGAUGCGUAGCCGACCUGAGAGGGUGAUCGGCCACACUGGAACUGAGACACGGUCCAGACGCCUACGGGAGGCAGCAGUAGGGAAUCUUCCGCAAUGGGCGAAAGCCUGACGGAGCAACGCCGCGUGAGUGAUGAAGGUCUUCGGAUCGUAGAACUCUGUUAUUAGGGAAGAACAAAUGUGUAAGUAACUAUGCACGUCUUGACGGUACCUAAUCAGAAAGCCACGGCUAACUACGUGCCAGCAGCCGCCGCAG